UACGUAGGGUGCGAGCGUUGUCCGGAAUUAUUGGGCGUAAAGAGCUUGUAGGCGGUUUGUCGCGUCUGCUGUGAAAUCCGGGGCUCAACCCCGGACUUGCAGUGGGUACGGGCAGACUAGAGUGUGGUAGGGGAGACUGGAAUUCCUGGUGUAGCGGUGAAAUGCGCAGAUAUCAGGAGGAACACCGAUGGCGAAGGCAGGUCUGCUGGGCCACUACUGACGCUGAGAAGCGAAAGCAUGGGGAGCGAACAGG
rnacentral:rRNA from 1 species